rnacentral:lncRNA from 1 species
CAACAGCCAGCGCCGCGCUGCUUCCCUGCUGCAUCAAGGAGGGAGAGCCCGUCCCUGGUCUGCUCAAGGACCGGGUCUUCCAAACACUGGUGUUGCACCUCAGCCUUUUUUCUUCUCACAUUUGUGUUUUUAGGGCAACUUUUCUGCCCAGCCAACAGCUGAGAGAAAAAAAGGCUGCACCUAAAAAUAACCGUGCUGCGCUGACAGCAGUGAGUCACCACAGCACCAAGAGACAACAGCCGUGGCAGGAGGCAGCCGCCCGCCCUUCAGCCUCACACGUUCAUGGGCCUGGGUCAUGGUGCUGGGCGCUUCCUCCCCCAUGAAAACUCCUCUUCCUGAGAACACAGAUCCACACGUACAUCGAUAUUGAUACUGAGGUAAAACACACUGCUUUCCCUCACCCCGAUGGCUUAGACAUUGCAAACCGUUACUGAGUGUACCUCCCACCCCCCGUGCAUCCAGGUUGGCAGAAAAAAAGGUGAUUUUUUCCCUAACCCUGAGAUGAAACAACCCCCAUUUGCUGGAGCUCUCUUCUUUGGGAGGUAUUUCUGGAGGGAAAGAAGAGCUGCUGUUAAUGAUAAUAAUUAAUCAUUAGUGAUAACAACCAAGGGAAGCACUGAAAAGGUCAUCGAGUGACUCCUGUGUCUUAAUUUGCAGGGAGGCUCCUUUUUCUUUGAUUUCCCAUGAAUUCAGUUAUUUUUUCACCCUGUCCCCUGCAGUCUGGGCAGUGCUAUCAGGCAGCCUGGGGUCUGGCAGGGUUCUGGGUUUGACCACUGCGGUUCCCCCUCCACGGGGUGCAGAGGAAGGACAUCCCAGCGGGGUUUCUCCCGCUCGCUGCCUCGAGGCUGCGUCCCGAAGAACCUGACCUCGGCCCGAGGCCACCCUGAUAGGGGUGUGCCAGCAGCAGCUGCGGCAGCCCCACAAGUGCUGCAAGGAGACCCUGUUGGAGAGAAAGCCUGCUCCAUGGAGCCAUCCCUAAGGAUGCCUCACCUUUCAGCCUUGACUUUCUAAGGACAGGCUUCAAAUCCACCAGGAACUGGGCAAAACCUGCUGGGGCGGAAAACAGAGCACCUCUGCCCAGGAUCCAGUUAAAAGG